UCAAUUAGAGAGAGAAACUGAUUAUAGGUUUUCUAGAGCUUACACUUAGCGAUGGCUGCUCUCCUCAGGACAUACCUUUGAAAGAGCUUGAAGGAGGAUCCAGCCUGCUUCUCACACCACUGAACUUCCCUCUUCAUCACCUUGGCUUUGCACUUCCCAGGAUGGAACUGCUUGUUAACUCUCCGAACUAGCCCAAAGCAGCCAGGCACCAGACAGAGACAUCUCUGAUAACUUGCUCAGCUUUUAACAGUGGAUUGAGUUCAAAUCUCUUUGUACAGGAGCCUAACUAGGACCAGGUGGAGACCACAGGGCGCCAGGCACUAUGAAGAACUGGUCCAAUCAUUGCAGGUGUUUGCGGUUGGAAUGGGCUGCCUCAAGAGGUGGUGAGGUCCUGUUACUGCGCUGACACCAAGGCCACUCCACAGGGGAGAAGAGGGUGCAGAUGAUGUUGGAUGUGCUUCCUUCUCAACCGGAAAGUUUCACACCCAAUAGGGAAGAGGGAGUCAGAGUGAGAGCUCUAGAACCCCAGAGAUGGUCAGAAAACCUUCCCUCAUUGAAUGCCCUCAGAGCCAUCAACCCUCUCCACUGUCCUGUUGAGAAUAACUUCAUCAGUGGAUAAUAUUCUGACAUACGUCAUCUGUGUAUUA